AAUUUAAUUUAAAUAGUUUAAGGUAAAAUAUUGAUUUGUGGUGUCAAAGAUAUAAUAGUAUAUUUUAAAUC
rnacentral:tRNA from 1 species